rnacentral:misc_RNA from 1 species
GGAAUAACUGUGGGAAACUACAGCUAAUACCGCAUACGCCCUUCGGGGGAAAGCAGCAAUGCGCUGAAGGAGGAGCCCGCGGCCGAUUAGCUUGUUGGCAGGGUAAAAGCCUACCAAGGCAAAGAUCGGUAGCCGGCCUGAGAGGGCACACGGCCACACUGGCACUGAAACACGGGCCAGACUCCUACGGGAGGCAGCAG